UGACACAGGGAGGUAGUGACAAUAAAUAACAAUGCCGGGCUUUUUCAAGUCUGGCAAUUGGAAUGAGAACAAUUUAAAUCCCUUAUCGAGGAUCAAUUGGAGGGCAAGUCUGGUGCCAGCAGCCGCGGUAAUUCCAGCUCCAAUAGCGUAUACUAAAGUUGUUGCAGUUAAAAAGCUCGUAGUUGAAUUUCUGGUCUGGGACAGUGGUCUGCCUCGAACGAGGUACGCACCUUUUGUCUGAGUCCAUCCUCGGAGAGAACGUGUCUGUCAUUCAAUUGAUGGGCUCGGAAUCUUCGUCAUUUACUGUGAGCAAAAUAGAGUGUUCAAAGCAGGCUUAUGCCGAUGAAUACACUAGCAUGGAAUAAUAAGAUAGGACCUUGGUCUAUUUUGUUGGUUUGCGUGUUAAGAUAAUGAUGAAUAGGGACAGUUGGGGGUAUUUGUAUUCCAUAGUCAGAGGUGAAAUUCUUGGAUUUAUGGAAGACAAACUAAUGCGAAAGCAUCUACCAAGGAUGUUUUCAUUAAUCAAGAACGAAAGUGUGGGGAUCGAAGAUGAUUAGAUACCAUCGUAGUCUACACCAUAAACUAUGCCGACUCAGGAUUAUCAGGUGACAAUUUGUUCUUGGUAGCACUGUGUGAGAAAUCAAAGUCUUUGGGUUCCGGGGGGAGUAUGGUCGCAAGGCUGAAACUUAAAGAAAUUGACGGAAGGGCACCACCAGGAGUGGAACCUG
rnacentral:rRNA from 1 species